GGUAUCAACACAGAGAAUUUGGGUGGGAGAGAAGUAGACCUUCACCAGCUACCCACGUUGCUUUGUUUUAGAAACCUCCUCCCCUGCUUUCUCCAGAUGAGAGUAGAAGCAUCCACGAAAGAUCACCAGAAGCGUACGCUAAAACUCGUUGAUCUUCUUGAUCUCUUCCUAUUCAGAUGUGGAUAACGCAUGGAUAGUAGGCCAUUGAUGCUAACAAGCAAAGAUAUACGAAGUACCUUUUUGACUUGCCAGUCUGAUGGUAUGACAGACACAAUUCCCUUCUUCCAAAAUGCUAAAGUAGCAUGUGUAGCAUGUGUAGCAUGUGUAGCAUGUGUAGAAUCAGGAGCGUAAUGAUGAUCGUCUUGGUAGCCUGUUCUGCUUCCUGGAAUGUAAGAGAACGCACAAAAUACAUGAAGUCUAAGCUCAAGGUUCAAGCUUAUCGAUGUUAAUCAUGGAGUGAUGAGGUUCAAUGUAAUAUUUAUCAUCCAUUUGUGCUCAUGAAAUUCUCAUCUAAUGAGAUCUGACACACGUUUACCC